UACGGAGGGAGCUAGCGUUGUUCGGAAUUACUGGGCGUAAAGCGCACGUAGGCGGCUUUGUAAGUUAGAGGUGAAAGCCCGGGGCUCAACUCCGGAACUGCCUUUAAGACUGCAUCGCUUGAAUCCAGGAGAGGUGAGUGGAAUUCCGAGUGUAGAGGUGAAAUUCGUAGAUAUUCGGAAGAACACCAGUGGCGAAGGCGGGUCUCUGGACAGUUCCUGACGCUGAGGCACGAAGGCCAGGGGAGCAAACGGG
rnacentral:rRNA from 1 species